CCUCCGUGUAGGCCUCAGUGAAGCCUGAAUUCGAGUAGGCUGGCAAGCCCCAGGAAGAAGGCUGGCAGUCAGAGUGGCCACUACAGCUCUCUGCAGCAGACCCUCCUCCCAGGCCAGACAGCUCAGCCUUUGCCAGCCUCCCAACCAAAAAAAGAGACCACAGCAAAAACUCAGCUCAUUCCAUACAAAGAAUCCUCUAGUCUGCGACAAUUAUCACUGAGUUUCACCUAAAGCAAAAUUUUGAUGAAAAUCUAUGAGUUCUCCAUCAGGCAAAGCACCCAAAGAUUAGAACUCCAAGAGAAACAGAAGGAGUUUUGGGGUGCCAGAAAAGGAAAGAGAGUGGUAAACCAAUCAAGAAUAGGCAGGAGGCAGAUUUAAAACAACUUGACACCUAAUCAAGUCCUAUCUUACAAUCUCCGCAUUCCACUGUUGCAUAAAAGAAGAUGGAGAUGGCACCUACAUCCACUGGAUAACAUCAUGUGCCAGUCAUUUCCCCUGCCCAGUCCCUGGAUGAAUAUGAGCUUUUUCAGGAUAUUCAGAAACAGACUGAAUAUGCAUGAGUCUCACACAUCAGGCGUGAGACUUGAGGAUUCUUGAGAACAGACGCUGAGUCUAAAAAAGGUUGUGUCAGAUAGUACAGGUGUCCACCAUGGAAUUACCUAUUGCCAUGGUAACUGGAGAGCUCUUUAAAUCAAAGCAAUCUGGCUUGACAGGCCACUGGCUAUUAGUUUUAUUGAUCAUACCAGUUUGAUAUGGAUAUCCACCCAACACUACUUUGACUUGUCAAAGUCUAGGCUCACCAUAUCCCCUCCUUCCAAAUGCAGCCUAAGACGACAGGUAGGGUACAGGCCUCCCAUGCUUCAGUGAUUAUACAUGACAUUUACACCCUGCCUCUCCUCUGCUUGGAGGUGGCUUACAAAUAUAACAAAACACUGAGUUAAUAAAGCUCCUAGAAAUCAAUAUAGCCCACCACAUUUUCAAUCCAUUUCAAUAGCAGAACUGACCCAAUGACUUGAUACUGGACAACAACAUUGAUAACCACCCAGUGACCAGAUCGAGACUGGGGGAAGGGAAGAAAAUAACUGGCUACUCCAGCUAACUGAGAAAAGAGGCACCUUUUUUUAAAGUGGUGGCUCCAUUUAACAAGAAAAUAGCAAUGUAUACCACUAUAUACACCCACCCUCCCAUCCUGUCCAAUGGCUGCUGGUGGUGUAUAUCUUGUGUUUCUUUUUACAUUGUGAGUCCCUUUUGGGACAGGGUACAGUUUUUUCAUUCCUUUUGCUAUUUAAACUGCUUUGAGAACCUUCUAUUGUUAAGCAGUAUAUACAUUUUCUAAGAAUGCAAAUUCAGAGAUUUGUUUUGUUUUAUUAUCUCUAUGAGCUGUACUGUAUGAGCUGCACUGUACUUUAGGGUAGAAUUUAAAUAAAUAAAUAACCGGGGGUGGGUAGGGUGGUUUGGAUUAUACUCCCCUUCCCCACAGAUACAAAUGCGCUGCUGCUGUUUUUGAUUGUGUUUGUUGGGCAUUUAUGUAGAUUUUAAUGCAUUUUAAUUAAUUGCAUUGGCUUUUAAUAUUCUAUGUCACUUUUUGUGCCUUUGAAAACAGAGGCAACUGAUAAAUAUUUACUACUACUACUACUAAAAGCAACAGUAAUAACUAGUAAACAUAUAGAUGUGUUGCAGUGAAUCCUAGAAAUGUAUGUGAAACCAGUGUAUAAAGAAUUUUAGUAAAAUCCAAGAGUUUAAAAAUGCAGUUGCUAGGUGGCCAACAGUGUCCACAAAUCCCUUUCUGGCACCCAGCUCUCUCUGGAUACCAGCACAGAGCCCUCCUCUCUGUCAAAUUCCCCGUGUAUUGCAUUAUAUACCACCCUUCUACCAUAAAAAGCCGAACUAAUAAACCAAAACAAUCAGAUGAGUGCAGCAAUAACUGAAUUAAACAAUGUAAAUUAAGUCAUCCACCAAAGGCCAGAGAACAGGUCAUGUGAUGCCUAAAAAACAAUAAAGAAAGGAUGCUAGGGUCUCUCUUGGGGAUGACUUUCAUUAUCGGGGUGCAGUCAUGGAAAAAUAAUGUUGAGAUGUCAAGGCCAGCCAUAAUUUUUGAACCUCUGGAAAGGUCUUUAGAUUUCUGACAUGUAAACCACAUGGCAAAGUAAACAUGAAAUAGUAAUCUUACACAGCUGUGUGGCACAGAAUCCCUUGGUAGCUACUAACACCAUCAAGGACUCAUAUGGACGCUUCCGCCCCUCCCCAUGCCUUUAGUAAGGCUAAGAGCAUGUCCAUCACGAGUCGCUACUCCAUCCACAAACAUAUGGAUGCUGUCCUUUCAUAUCUCUUUAUCACAUGGGAGGCCUAUUCAUCUGAUCAGCCCCUCCAUACAUGCUCCAAAUACUACUUUAAACAAGUAUUUAGAGCAUGUAUACUAGGGAUGUGCACGGAACCGGCAACUGCCAGUUCAAAGGUGGUGGUGGGGAUAGCUUUAAAGACCGGGAGGAUGCUCUCACCCCCGCCUCCCCACACGCAUUUCCCCUGCCGGCAUUGUGUUAAAAUACAAUCCCGCGGGGCAGCAGCGUACCUUCU